AUUCCAUAAAGCGCAUGUGUACGAUAACAAAUCGGGCAGUGAAACAAUAUUUAACGGGACCAGCAACAGAGCUCUUUUUAUCCUGGUAGCAGCAUCUUUUUAGUUUCUGUGAACAUCAUUCGAAAGUUAUCAAAUGACGAAGACUAGGGUGGAUGAUAAUAAUAGCUUCAAAGUUGGGCUUGCUUGUCACUAAACAAUAAAUCUUCCAUGAGCUCAAACAAGAACAUUGCCCUCUUUUGGAACAUCUAUCUCAACGUGAAUCAGAAAAACAGACAAGUUGCCCAGAAAUUUGAAUCGCAUUGGCGUCGGGCAAACCAUCUUCGGAGCACCAGUGAACUACCCAUCCACAUCCACCCUCACUCUUACACUGCACCGACUGAAAACAACCCUUUGCCGACUUCCAGCGGGGCCUGAAAUCGAGCAUUGAGAACAAAGACGAUGAAAACGAGUCUUGGACCUGGAAACUGCUGAACACACACCGACACCAAGAAUUGUGAAGAAAGUCGUGAAAGGGCUUGUGCUGGACUCGACUGCAACACUACCCACGAGUUUUUUUUUGGGGGGGGGGGUCCUGAGAGUAUAUAGCCGCCCUGAAGACCCUGAAUAAAGCUAAGAACCUGAGGAAGGCAAGGGGCGAUGCUACACUGAAAAAGUAGACAGAGUUGCAUGAAGAUUACUGAAAAAAACAGCAAGAUCUUACGGGAACGAACUGGAUUAUACAUCUCGAACAAACGAACUUUGCGAAACUAUAUCUCGUAAGAAAACUAAAUAAAGGUAAGAAGCUCAGGAAGGCAAGGCGAUGCCAAACUAGAAGAGUAGACGAGAGUUGCAUGCAGAUGGCUGAAAAACGCCGCAACGUGAGUUAAUCUACUGUGUACAACGAACGUUACUUUGGAAGCUCUACAAUAAAGGUAAACCUAUUACAAUCCAGUCUGACAAGGUUUUUAUUUGCAUAUUCGCAUGUCGCACAGGGUCGCGCAAUCAUCGUCUGUGUCCUGUGCAAUGUGCACUAGACAUGUCACAACGUACAGCGUGGUUUCUGAUGCGAGGCGCGGAACCCGAGGCGUGGAAUCCGACUGGAACAAUGAGGGUAAAAUGGAAAAACUAAGCCUAUCAAAGAAAUAUGGGGAGUUUUUCCAUUGUUUCCAGUAUAUUAAUGUACACCUGUCAACAUCAGAGGAAACUUCAUUUCAUUAUGCAGGUCGAAUGUAAUGACGACAAAACAGUAAUAGAGAUUCCAUAUUAUUAUACUUGUCCAUCAUACGGGAGCCAUCGGAAAAUGUCCAGUGAACCGUCACGUUUAUAUUCGUUUAUAUUAGUCAAAAAGGUCAGAGUUACAUUGUCUCCCCUCAAUCUUCCGAGUUUGUUUACACUGAAGUUCUGCUUGGUUGGUUGGCCAGUCAGUGCAUUGGUCAAUUGGCUCGGACUUUUCACGGUCUGGGGGACAAUUGGUUAGACAUUUGGUUGGUCAUUUGGGUGGACAGUUGGUUCAACAGUUUGUUGGACAGUCUGAAGGACAGUUGGGUGAGAAGCUUGGUAAAUGGUCUGACUGACGGUUUAUUGGACAGUCUGAAUGACGGUUGAGUGGACAGUGGGUGGACGGUUAGUUGCGAUGGUUAGAUGGACAUAAGUGGGCCGUUGGGGGACGUUUGUAUUGACAGUCGUUGGACAGUUCGUUAGACGGUACAGUUUGUGAACAAUGGUUCGUCACGGUCCAACCUACCAUCAUUUGGAACCGUCUUACCAGCUGCAGAUAAGUGGACAUAGGUUGGUUCAGUGAUCUGGUGAUAGGCUGACGGUUGCAUGUGUUGACGUUUGGGUAGACAUUGGUUUGGCACUUUGAUGGACUGUUGGUCAAACAGUUCGUUGCGACGAGUGGUUGGAAAGUUCAUUGCAUAGUUGAAUGGGCUGUUUGAUUGACAGUUUUGUCUUUGUUGCUUGUAGUUGGAUGGUUGGUUAGACAUUUGGAUGGACAUUUGUUGAACAGUGGGGUGGAGGGUCGGGUUGACAAGUGGUUUCCACAAUUGGUUGGCCAGUUGAUUGGAAAUGUGGUUUAAAGGUUUAUUUGUUAAACAGUUUGUUAGACUGAAGGCAGAUAGGUUAACAGUUUGUUGGACAGUUUGAAGGACGGUUAGGGGUAGUGGUGUAAACGGUUGGUUGAGACAGUUCGUUAUACAGUCAAAUGGACGGUUGGGAGGAGAGCAAACUUGCCAGUUAGGUGGAUUCUUGGGUGAACAGUUGCCUGGUCGGUUAGAUAGGUGAUUGGUUAGAUAUUUGUGUAGGCAAUUGGUUGGACAGUUCAGUGGACGGUUUGGUGGCCAGUUGGGAUGAAUCUUGGUUCAUCCACACCACUGUUCAACCAACCGUCAUUUCGACUUACUGACAAACUGUGUUGGACCAAUGGGUAAAUGUGUGGUUAACGGCCGGUUCAGUGGACAACUGUGUGGACGGUAGGAUGGACAGUUGGGUAGUCAGUUAGAUGAAUGGUUAGUUGAACGGUUAGUGGGACGGUCAAAUGUUUGAGUGGACAGUUCUUGGGACAGUUUGAUUGACAAUUGGGAUGAAACUUGGUGUAAUCAAUGGUGACAACCUCCAUGUAAAUGUCCAACUGUGACAGUUAGUUGUACAGUAAAAUGAAUGGUUGUGUUGACGAUUGGCUGGAUAGUUUGAUGACUGGUUAAUUGAGCGGUUGGGUGGACGGUCGUUGACGGUUGGUUGGAUGUUUGGAAGUACAGUUCAGAGAACAGUUGCAUUAAACCUCAUCUUACUGUCCCACCAAUUGUGCAAAAGCCGUCCAGCCUAAUCCCCACCCAACCGUCAUUCAGACCGUCAAACAAAAUUUCGAUAAAACCAGUCGGACAAUUUGGUGGACAGUUAGGCAGACAAUAAUUGGUUAGACGUUUGGAUAGACUUUGCGGGACAGUUUGGUGGACUUUUGGCUGGGGCGAUUAUAUGACAAGUUGGUUUAACGGUAUAAAUAACGGUUUGUUGAACAGUUUAGGGGCAGCCUGAAGGAAGGCUGGGCGGACAACUUUUUGACAGUCUAAAGAAGGUCGGGUGGACAACGGGGUGGAUAGUUGGUUGCAACCUAUGGUUGCACGGUCGGAGGGACAUUGGGUGGAUGGUUGAGUGGACGGUUUGGUGGACGGUUCGGCCGCCAGUACGUGAAUGGAUUUGUGGAUGGUUAGUUGGAUGGUUGGUUAAGCCUAUGACUGGACGGUUCUAAGACAGUUGAGUUAACAAUUGGGAUGACCCUUGGUGCAAUAAUUGGUGACAACCUCCAUGAAUGUCCAACUGUGACGGUUGUUCAGUUACAUAAAUAGUUUGGUAAUCGGUUAGUCAGAUGGUUGAAUGGACGGUCAUUGGACGUUGGUUGACGGUUGGGUGGACCGUUGUCAUAUACAUGUAGUUAACAGGACGGUUUGGUCGACAACUGGAGGGAACCUUGGUUUAAUAGACCAUCAAAGUGUCCAACCUAAAGCCCACCCAACUGUCAUUCAGACUGUCCAACAACAUUUCCAAAAAAAACCCGUCCUAUGGACAGUUGGACAGUUUCUUUAACCGCUUGGUGGACAGUUGGUAAGACGUUUGGGUCAAUGGCGUUGGAGAGCUUGUCGAACAGUUGGUUCCACGAUUGGCUAGGUGUGUGAACAGUAGUAAAACUGUUGGACAAUUUGAGGGCAGUGUGACGGACGACUGGGUUGACAAAUUUGUUGACAGUCUGAAAGACGGUUGGUUGGCAAAUUGGUUUAACGGUUAUUACGACAGAUUGUUACACAGUCACAUCGGAAUGGGUAAACGAUUAGGAUGGACAAUUUGGUUGAAGUUCGUGUGGACAAUUGGAUUAAAAGUGCUAGAUUUUUAAGAGGUUAUUUGUUGGACAUUUACAUGGACACGUGGGUUGACAGCUGCGAUGACCCUUGGUUCGUCCAACCCACUAUCCAACGUCAUUAAGACCGUACAACCAACUGUAGUUAGGCGAGCAAUUGUGUUGGUUGGUUAAACGAUUGGAUACGUGGUUGGAUGAACGAUUAGGUGUCGACAGUUGGUUGGACAGUUGGGAAGACUUUUCGUGGAUGUGUGGGUGGAUGGACAGGUCGAUUGUGACUGUUAGUAAGACAAUUAAAUGUGCUGACAGUUGUUGCAUGUUCUGUGAACAGUUGGGUAUAACCUUGCUGCACCCACCCAACAGUCCACCCAAGCGUCAUGCAGACUUUAAAACUGACUGUUGGUAGGUGGACAGUCAGGGUCUGGUUAGUUGAACGGUGGGGUGAGUAGUUGGGUGGACGGCUCCGCACUGGACAGUUGGGUCCACAGAUGGAAAGAACCUUGAUUUGUCCACACUGACUGUUGGUAGGUUGACAGCCAUGUUCUGUUUAGUUAAACGGUGGGGUGAGUAGUUGGGUGGACGGCUCCGCACUGGACAGUUGGGUACACAGAUGGAAAGAACCUCGAUUUGUCCACACUGACUGUUGGUAGGUGGACAGUCAGGUUCUGGUUAGUUUAACGGUGGGGUGAGUAGCUGGGUGGACGGCUCCGAACUAGACAGUUGGGUCCACAGACUGUCCAACCAACAGUCAUUCAGAUUGUCGAACAACCUGUAGGCAGUCUUGGUGCUUGAUGGUUCGGUGACUGGGUGUGUAAACGGUUGCACGGACGAUUUGGUGGGCUGUUAUGUUGCCUGUUUGGUGAGUGGUUUGGUAGACGGUUAGUUUUUCCGACUUGGCUGGUUGGUUAGACGUUUGAGUGGACAGAUCUUGGACAAUUGGUCGACAGUUGAGUUGAACCUUGGUUUAAUAGACGGUUGCAACUUCUCCUCUGAUUGUCCACCCAAAUGCCCAUCCAACUGUCAUUCAAACCGUCUAACAUCAUUUCCAAAGAACCAACCUUGGGACCUUGGACAGUUUGUUGGACGGUGGGGAAGACAGGUUAAAAACUCAAACUAAACUUAAACGCGUCCUGUCGUCAAAAGUACCGAUGUGUUCGCGGAUUUAUAAAGCAGCUUGAACAGUAAUACUUUAAAGACACCAUGUGCUUAUCGUGAUAGCAAUAAAGCCCACUUCUAUUUCUACAGGCCUACAACUGGUCUUUCUACCCCGUGGAGUUGAUUCUUUUCCGCCCCGUUAAACAUUCUAUUUGAAGACGCUUAGCCGCAUACGCGCAAAGUGUGACAUCCAGACGUCGGAGAUAUGCAUGUCAGAACUGCAAACCGAAUGUACAUUCUAUCAAUUCUUAUCUUGAUAUUCGAGAUUCACAACACAUUUGUUUCAGUGCCAUCACCAACGGGGGAGGGGCGGCAGAGGAGCUUUUUGCCCCUAAAGACAAAUUGCCAGUUUUUAUGUUCAUUUUAUUUCAUUUUAUUCCUGUUAUUAUAUUAAUAUUUUGGAAAGCACCAGCAUUUUAGAAAAGAGGGGUAAUAAAGGAUGUUUUAUACAUGCAUACGAAAGAAAAAUUUGGACAGACAUUUUUACAGAAGUUUCCACCCCACUAUCAGCGAUUUUGUCCUGGCCUCUAAUUGGACAAGCCUUCGACAAACCACGUCAUUUCUCCAUAGUGUUAUGAUGUAUUUGCUACGCCAACGUUUCCGUUACUAGUCCGUCUCUUGUAUAGACUCCCCCUUUUUUCCUUUUAUCAUGUAGUGGCUGCCAUUCUAUCGUAAGUUGGCACCACUCUGCCUUUUUUCUUGUGGGGGUGUCGAGCCGAUCUCCAACCUUCCUGAUGCUGUCAGCUUGAAAUCAUUCACUGUUGUAUGUCUUUCCCUCUACCAUAACCAUCAGCCAUCGUUCUUUCCACAUUUAGUGGGUUAGUUUGACGUCACUGUCUCUUCACAUUUUCUUUGCUCAGAGUCCAAGAUUCGCUUCUGUGCUAUUGCUGUCACUAUGGACACGUAGAAUAGGGUUUUUACCAGGCAGUUUGGGGUGGAUUGAAUCCUCUUUGUGCACACUGUUUGUGCAUUUUUCGUCUGAUUCCCGAAGCUUGGUUUAUUUUGGUCAAAUAUCACGUCCAAGAUAGUCGUAUUAUGUCAAUUCUUCACUUAACAAUUUUCAUAUCUUUCUUUGCACAAAAUCUUAGUGAAUAUUUAUUUUGAAAUUUUGAGGCCUUCACUCGGCAUUAUUUGGGCUGUUGGCGAGUCACUCAGUGUUUUGCUACCAGAUCAAUUUUACUAUAUAAAAUUGCGGUUUCUUUCUCCAUAGUGUUUUUGGACGAGAAUGGGUGAUUUAUCUUUGCUACUGUUGGCCGAGUACGAGUCCUUGAUGAUGGCAAUGGGCGUACUCUGGCUACCACGACGAAUCUCCUAAACGGGGACUCGUGCGCCCACUAUUCAAGUCCAUGGUCAUACAGCUUCAUAAAUAAUCGUCGCUCAGUUGAAGCCGGCCUCACAGUCUUCACAUGAACCGUUCUGUUUGUUUGUUUGUUUGUUUGUUUGUUUUUCCCCCGAGUGAAGUAAUUUCGUUUACCUGUCGCCUCACGCAAAAAUCACAGGCCCACAUGUUGUCGUGUCUUAAACUUUAAUUGAGUACAUACUGUAUUAGAUUCGAUAAUACGUUUCUCGGGUUGUUGAUUUCUCCUCUCUAUUUUUGAAUGGGAAAGAUUGCAAAAUCAAUGUGCACUCGUAUCAACUAUCUGAUGGUAAGGUCGUCAGCCAAUACUAGACUAUGCAGGCAGAAACAUAGAGCUAUAUUAAAUUAAGCUAUCUAUCCGUUAUAUCUAUGUAUGACAGUUCCAGGGCAACACGUACGCUAGACUCUGCGUUCGCGGUGCUUCAGUAGCAUUUUGCUGUACAUUUUUACGGUGUUUCUUUGUUACGUAUGGGUACUCAUUGUUUCAAAAAAUCCGAAACGGUCUUCAAAUACAGCGUUUAAACUUUCUCGUUGCAUCGUGGGACUGGAUGACAAAGAAGCCAUGCAUUUUAUCCUUGGGGGAAGUUAACCAGUCAAACACAAUUAAUUAACAUUUUUCUCCCGUCCAGAAUUUCUCUUAGUACCUCAUUAUCAAUUCUCAGAUGCAUGCGAAGUAUAAAAUAAAAGUUUUUUAAGUAAUAAGCAUUUUUCUCAAUUUCGUAGUUUUUAUGUAAUGGCCUGAAGAAUCAUUUUGUGACCGCCAGUCAAAUUAACACAAACUAAAUCAGUUUGUUAUUAGAAAACUUAAACUGCGAGCGAGCUCAUUUAUCACUGUGCAAACCAACAGCCAUUAUAAACCCAUCUUAAAGUUAAUUUUGAACAUGUAACUGUUAAGUUAAGCACGUUUUAGAAAUAAAAGUGUUUCGGUCUUCAGAAAAUGUAA